GAUGAACGCUGGCGGCGUGCCUAAUACAUGCAAGUCGAGCGAACAGAUGAGGAGCUUGCUCCUCUGACGUUGGCGGCGGACGGGUGAGUAACACGUGGAUAACCUACCUAUAAGACUGGGAUAACUUCGGGAAACCGGAGCUACUACCGGAUAAUAUAUUGAACCGCAUGGUUCAAUAGUGAAAGACGGUUUUGUUGUUACUAAUAGAAGGAUCCGCGCCGCAUUAGCUAGUUGGUAAGGUAACGGCUUAACAAGGCAACGAUGCGUAGCCGACCUGGGAGGGUGAUCGGCCACACUGGAACUGAGACACGGUCCAGACUCCUACGGGAGGCAGCAGUAGGGAAUCUUCCGCAAUGGGCGAAAGCCUGACGGAGCAACGCCGCGUGAGUGAUGAAGGUCUUCGGAUCGUAAAACUCUGUUAUUAGGGAAGAACAAAUGUGUAAGUAACUAUGCACGUCUUGACGGUACCUAAUCAGAAAGCCACGGCUAACUACGUG
rnacentral:rRNA from 1 species